UACGUAGGCGGUUUAUUAAGUCAGAUGUGAAAGCCCCGGGCUUAACCUGGGAACUGCAUUUGAUACUGGUAAACUAGAGUAUGGUAGAGGGGGGUAGAAUUCCUAGUGUAGCGGUGAAAUGCGUGGAUAUUAGGAGGAAUACCAGUGGCGAAGGCCGGCCCCCCUGGACCAAUACUGACGCUGAGGUACGAAAGCGUGGGUAGCGAACA
rnacentral:rRNA from 1 species